rnacentral:sRNA from 1 species
GUUGGGCAUGGUGGUGCACACCUGUAAUCCCAGAGGCUUGGGAGGCUGAGGCAGGAGGAUUGCAGGUUGGAAGCCAGCCUCAGCAAUUUAGCAAGGCCCUAUACAACUUAGUGAGAUCCUGUCUCAA